GCACAGUGGUUUAGUGGUUAGCACGUUCGCCUCACACCUCCUCGGACUCCGGGGUUCGAGUCCCAGUCAGUGUG